AUGAACGCUAGCUACAGGCUUAACACAUGCAAGUCGAGGGGCAGCAUGACCUAGCAAUAGGUUGAUGGCGACCGGCGCACGGGUGAGUAACACGUAUCCAACCUACCGGUUAUUCCGGGAUAGCCUUUCGAAAGAAAGAUUAAUACCGGAUAGUAUAACGAGAAGGCAUCUUUUUGUUAUUAAAGAAUUUCGAUAACCGAUGGGGAUGCGUUCCAUUAGUUUGUUGGCGGGGUAACGGCCCACCAAGACAUCGAUGGAUAGGGGUUCUGAGAGGAAGGUCCCCCACAUUGGAACUGAGACACGGUCCAAACUCCUACGGGAGGCAGCAGUGAGGAAUAUUGGUCAAUGGACGAGAGUCUGAACCAGCCAAGUAGCGUGAAGGAUGACUGCCCUAUGGGUUGUAAACUUCUUUUAUAUGGGAAUAAAGUGAGCCACGUGUGGCUUUUUGUAUGUACCAUACGAAUAAGGAUCGGCUAACUCCGUGCCAGCAGCCGCGGUAAUACGGAGGAUCCGAGCGUUAUCCGGAUUUAUUGGGUUUAAAGGGAGCGUAGGCGGACUAUUAAGUCAGCUGUGAAAGUUUGCGGCUCAACCGUAAAAUUGCAGUUGAUACUGGUCGUCUUGAGUGCAGUAGAGGUAGGCGGAAUUCGUGGUGUAGCGGUGAAAUGCUUAGAUAUCACGAAGAACUCCGAUUGCGAAGGCAGCUUACUGGACUGUAACUGACGCUGAUGCUCGAAAGUGUGGGUAUCAAACAGGAUUAGAUACCCUGGUAGUCCACACAGUAAACGAUGAAUACUCGCUGUUUGCGAUAUACAGCAAGCGGCCAAGCGAAAGCAUUAAGUAUUCCACCUGGGGAGUACGCCGGCAACGGUGAAACUCAAAGGAAUUGACGGGGGCCCGCACAAGCAGUGGAGUAUGUGGUUUAAUUCGAAGCAACGCGAAGAACCUUACCAGGUCUUGACAUCCUACUAACGAGAUAGAGAUAUGUUAGGUGCCCUUCGGGGAAAGUAGAGACAGGUGGUGCAUGGUUGUCGUCAGCUCGUGUCGUGAGAUGUUGGGUUAAGUCCCGCAACGAGCGCAACCCUUAUGGUCAGUUACUACGCAAGAGGACUCUGGCCAGACUGCCGUUGACAAAACGGAGGAAGGUGGGGAUGACGUCAAAUCAGCACGGCCCUUACGUCCGGGGCUACACACGUGUUACAAUGGGGGGUACAGAAGGCAGCUACACAGCGAUGUGAUGCUAAUCCCAAAAGCCUCUCUCAGUUCGGAUUGGAGUCUGCAACCCGACUCCAUGAAGCUGGAUUCGCUAGUAAUCGCGCAUCAGCCACGGCGCGGUGAAUACGUUCCCGGGCCUUGUACACACCGCCCGUCACACCAUGAGAGUUGGCAACACCCGAAGCCGGCGGCCCAACCCGCAAGGGAGGGAGCUGUCUAAGGUGGGGCUGAUGAUUGGGGUG
rnacentral:rRNA from 1 species